ensembl:lncRNA
AUGGUUCAGGGAGGCAGCCUACGCUACAGUGACAAGCAAAGAGCUGUAACACAAAUGAAAGAAAUUGGAGUAGAGGAGAGAAGGCACAAUAAACCUCAUUGGACUGGCAUCCUGUCAGCGGCCCGCACGAGGGGUCCUUGUCUUAACCACUGUCCAUGGCAGCUUUUCCUUCUGACCACUGAGGGGUAUUGUUUCCUCUUCUUGAAUCCGUAUCAAGACAAAACUCCACUGAAGGAGGAUUGUCUGGUCACUGAACCUUUUGAAGACUAUCUCUUUCCAUUUUCCAGAAUGAUCAUCCUGCAGGACUCACCUGAGGAGUCAGGGGAGAUGCUGAUUGUCCAUUCCAGAGGUAAGGAAACGGAGCACACUCCCCUCUGGCUUCCCCUAAACCUUGUUUACCCAAGAGAACCUGGGUAAAUAUGGAUAAUGGAAUUCCAAGCUGAAGAGAACUAGCUUCAUUAACCAAAACCCCGAACUCUUUGGGUAACUGACUUACCCAAAGUCACAAGUUAAGCAGUGUCGGUGUCUAAACUCCAGAAUUUCCUCACAUCUACUUUCUCCCUUCCACCAUCCCCAAAAUGCUCUCUCUGCUAGAUGAGGACAGUUUUCUGAAAUUAUGAUAGCUUGCAGUUUGUUUUAGCUUAGGUUAAGUCUUUUUUCUCAGGGGAGUACAAGCCCUGUUCACAAAACUCCACCUGACCCACUCUUCAGCUUAAUAGACACUUCGUUCUCUCUGGAAAAGCAGCCGGGCUGCCCAGGGCACAAGGACGGCUCACCCUAUUGAGCUCCUUUAGAGCUUUUCCUCAAAUCUAUUUAUGUUAGUCUAACUUUAUGUAAUUAAAUUAAAUAUUACUAAUUACUUUAUGUAAUUAAAUUAAAUAUUACAAAGCAUCUUGAAGUAGGAAUGCAGAAGACCCAUUUUUCUAAAAUCCCUUAAAAAGAGUUUUUAAAAAAAUUGUUUCUCUUCCAAUUUAGAAAGCCUUGCAAGGACGGAAUAGACAAAGAGUUGUUCAAAAUUACUGCUAAAGUAGUUGUGGGUGAAGCAAGUGUAAAUACUGGAAAAAAUAAUGACAAUUUAGAAGGAUUUGCAUGCAGUUUGUUUUACAAGUCCCAACCUAAAGAAAACUGAAACCAGAAUUUAUAGAAUGUGGUUCUAUAAACCACAUGCAAGGAAGACAAUCUGGAAUUUCAGUCAGUAAAUUUAUUUUUUUAAAGGCCUUGAUGCUUUUUGAAAAGAUUAGUGAGUGAAUAAAUAUUUAUAUGUCUUAAGUUAAAAUGAAAUG